CUGCCUGAUGUGGAUGCUGCAAACCAAAUUGUUUCUUUGUGAGAGCUGCCAAGCCUGUCUUCAGUCGCAAAUUUUAGAAAUAUCCCAGGGAAAAGUAGAAUCACUGAGUAUCCCUGAUGAAUGGAUUUUCAGAGUAAUUGUCAAUGUAAGUGUCCAGCAACAGGAGGUUUGGUCAAUUACAACAUCUACACUACAGAAAACUAUGCAGCUUAAACUGUUGAAAAGACAUAAUUAGUCACAUUCAGUUUUUUUGUGUGUGUGAUGCUAAGGGGAAGAGGCAAAACUCUAUGAGGAUGACAAGGUCCUUUCUCAAGAAAAAGACAGUUUGAUGUGUGUCUGUGGCGAGUCCCUGAAAGGGUCAAUAGCAAGCAAGUGCUUUGAGAAGGCCUGACCCUUCGGCCUCCUGAGUGUUAUACCAGCUGUUUUUAUACAGUGAGCAAAAUGUCUGACAGAAACAACUCAAGUGAGGAAGGGCUUGUUUUAUGCCAUAGCUUCAUCAUGGUGGGAAGCAGGGGGAGUCAGUCUGUUGUGGCAGACUCCUUACACUGCACACCAGGAAGAGAGGCAGGCCCAGCUGCUACCUUGAAAGUCCCCUUCUAGCCACUGACUUCCACCAGCUGGGUCUCAUUUCCUACAGACAUAGCACAUGUCAAGUUAGCGCCACUGGUGGGGAACACUCAAAACAUGAGCGCCUCCUUUGGCAACAUUCAUGUUUCAAAGUUGAACGCUUCCCUACAUACAAAAUAUUUUCCGCCAUGAUAGUUCAGGUUAAGGGGAAAGUUUUACCUAAGGCGGAGGUCCCUGGAGAACUACAGAAGAGGUCCCACUGAGAAUGUCUACCGGGGCCACAGGGGCAGAGGGUGGAGGCUGGAGCCUUUCCUUCUGGGAUGUUGUAAUGGGUCUCUGGGUCAAAAGAGCACACAGGAUGAAGCAGCUGGGUGACACCCAUUUUGCUUAGUUGCAUUGAUUUUUUUUCUAAAUGCUCCAUGGAAGGCCAGGAAGGAUCACUGCCCUGUUGCCCUUCUGAAAGCCAGGGAUACUUCACUGAAGGAAUAUCUGUCUCACGACUUGGCAAUCCAGUUCUGAAAGGUGAAGAUUCCCCAAUGAAAGCAGCCCAUUCCUCCCACUCUCCUCUGCCAUUCUUGUCCAAACUAGAGGUUGGGUCCCUCCAAGGAGCCGUGAUGCCAGGCACUGGGAUGCUCCAGGGUACUGGGUUCUGAGCUUAGGCACCCUGAAGACUCUAUUCUGUCUACAAACCAUCACCAAGCAACCAUGGACCCAAGCAACCAAGUUCUCAGAAGCACGAGGGACCCAGUGUCCCCAGACACCUGAGGGCAGGUCGAUUGCACAGGACAGGGAAUCUCAAUCCACUUCUAUUUUCCUGAGGAGACAGAGGUAAAGACUAUCUUAGGACUAAUCUCAUUCCUCUCCCAGUUUUGGACGCAUUCGGCAGCCAUGAGAUUUUACGGUUCUUCCUGUUGGCAGAGCUCAGUGGCAUGAGAUCAAUUCCUUUUGCUCUAAACAGGCACAUACUUGAUGUCUGAGUUGUUGGAAGCUAGCAAUAAUGAGUAAGAAGUACAGGUCAUUUCAGAUGCUGCCACCGCCAAAGUCAAUGAGAGGCCUGAGGGCUUAUGGGUAAGCACGUGGUCUUGGGCAGAGCUCUUCCGUGUGGCUACCCGCCCGCUACCGCAGCUGCUGAAAACUUCUCUGACAGAUGCCUCCAUGUCAACAGGAGCCUCGUUCUACUUGAAUAGAGCUAUUUUCACAGGGAAACGUGUGUUCAAAUCUACCAUGGGGCUAGAGAGAUGGCCCAGAAGUUAAAACAUUUGCUACUCUUGCAAAGGAC
rnacentral:sRNA from 1 species